rnacentral:rRNA from 1 species
GAUGAACGCUGGCGGCGUGCCUAAUACAUGCAAGUCGAGCGAACAGACGAGAGUGCUUGCACUCUCUGACGUUAGCUGCGGACGGGUGAGUAACACGUGGGUAACCUACCUAUAAGACUGGGAUAACUUCGGGAAACCGGAGCUAAUACCGGAUAAUAUUUAGCUUCGCAUGAAGCAAUAGUGAAAGACGGUUCUGCUGUCACUUAUAGAUGGACCCGCGGUGUAUUAGCUAGUUGGUGAGGUGACGGCUCACUAAGGCAACGAUACAUAGCCGACCUGAGAGGGUGAUCGGCCACACUGGGACUGAGACACGGCCCAGACUCCUACGGGAGGCAGCAGUAGGGAAUCUUCCGCAAUGGACGAAAGUCUGACGGAGCAAUGCCGCGUGAGUGAAGAAGGUUUUCGGAUCGUAAAACUCUGUUGUAAGGGAAGAACAAGUACGUUAGUAACUGAACGUACCUUGACGGUACCUUACCAGAAAGCCACGGCUAACUACGUG